GGGCGAUUAGCUCAGUUGGUCAGAGCGCCUGCCUUACACGCAGGGGGUCGAAGGUUCGAGUCCUUCAUCGCCCA
rnacentral:tRNA from 1 species